rnacentral:rRNA from 1 species
AUGGGCAAGGACACUAGUGCUGAUUUAGUAACCUCUAUAAGAAAUGCGGACAUGAAUAAAAAAGGAAUAGUUCGAGUAGUAUCUACAAAUAUUACCAAAAACAUUGUUAAAAUACUUCUACGAGAGGGUAGAAAGACUAGAAAAGGAAUAUAUAGAGCAAGAACCUUUUUAAAGCGUAUCAGCCGACCCGGCUUACGAAUUUAUACCAACUAUCAAGGAAUUCCUAAAGUUUUGGGUGGAAUGGGAAUUGCUAUUCUUUCUACUUCUCAAGGAAUAAUGAAAGAUCGAGAAGCUCGACUAAACAGAAUUGGGGAGAAGUCUUAUGUUAUAUAUGGU